CCUACGGGAGGCAGCAGUGAGGAAUAUUGGUCAAUGGUCGGGAGCCUGAACCAGCCAAGUCGCGUGAAGGAUGAAGGCACUGAGUAUUGUAAACUUCUUUUAUAAGGGAAUAAAGUGAGGGACGUGUUCCUUGUUGUGUGUACCUUAUGAAUAAGCAUCGGCUAACUCCGUGCCAGCAGCCGCGGUAAUACGGAGGAUGCGAGCGUUAUCCGGAUUUAUUGGGUUUAAAGGGUGCGUAGGUGGUUUGUUAAGUCAGCGGUUAAAGUUUGGGGCUCAACCGUAAAAUGGCCGUUGAAACUGGCAGUCUCGAGUAGAGGUGAGGUAGGCGGAAUGCGUGGUGUAGCGGUGAAAUGCAUAGAUAUCACGAAGAACUCCGAUUGCGAAGGCAGCUUACCAA
rnacentral:rRNA from 1 species